rnacentral:rRNA from 1 species
GAUUUCUGGCCUGGUGCGCCCUGUCCGCCGCCGUCAGGCGCGUGAGUACGGGGUUGUGCCUGCCAUCCUUCCGGGGAGGCCGUCUGCUCUUCACUGAGUGGGCGGUCGACCUGGAUCGUUUACUUUGAAAAAAUUAGAGUGUUUAAAGCAGGCGUUUGCUGUGAAUACAUUAGCAUGGAAUAAUAAAAUAGGACUUUGGUUCUAUUUUGUUGGUUUCUAGGACUGAAGUAAUGAUUGAUAGGGACAGUUGGGGGUGCUAGUAUUCGGCGGCCAGAGGUGAAAUUCUUGGAUUCGCUGAAGACUAACUAAUGCGAAAGCAUU